CCGAGUUUACAACUCCCAAACCCCUGUGAACAUACCUGUUUUUGUUGCUUCGGGCCGGUGCCCUCGCCUCUCGUGGCGAGGGCCCGCCAGAGGACCCCAAACAAACUCUUUGAUUUUGAUCUAGGAUUUUUACUUCUGGAGUGAUAUACAAAAUAAAUCA
rnacentral:misc_RNA from 1 species